rnacentral:other from 1 species
CUGGUGCUGCGGGGUGCGUUAGGCUGGUAAAAUCCCUGGGGCCAAUAAUCUUCUUUAGGGAGCUGUCCCUGCCGGGAUCGUGGUCUCGGUAUAUGGCGCCCACCUGCUUAUGCAGGCCGCAAGAGGACUUUGAGCCGACGGCUGCCGCGGCACCACG